rfam:Triticum aestivum genome assembly, contig: Triticum_aestivum_CS42_TGACv1_scaffold_080835_1DS
ACAAUACUCCCUACGUCCCAAAAUUGUUGUCUUAGAUUUGUCUAGAUACGGAUGUCUCUAAUAUUAAGAUGUGACUUGAUACAUCUGUAUUUAGACAAAUCUAAGACAAGAAUUUUGGGACGGAGGGAGUAGUAC